UGUCUCCACAGCUUCUGGUGUACUUUCAGCUUCCCAGACUAACGAAUACAAACCGUAUAAACGAAAUGGAGCUUGCCACUUCAUAUAGCCACGUCUGUCAGCAAUUUCAUGGAGCAGGAGAAGGAUACCACGGAUAUCUUAACUCAGUUUUUCUCCCCAAAAGCAGGAGGAUUAGACACAUGCGCACGAUUGGUCUCUUUGUGUGCACCAGGAAGGGCUUGGCGUCGAUUUACACUUCCUAACGGGGCAAAGACCUGGAACGACCGUUUGUGCCUAGGAAUAAAAAUGCAUUUUAAACACAGCUACUGAAAUAAACAAUUGCCUUUCUCCCGCUUGCCUCCCACAUUGCAAGUCGCCCCGCCGCCCCUGCCCCGGUGUGCAGCUCCGGAAGGGAGACUAACAGCCCCAGACUGUGGAGCCCUGUCUUUAGGAAUCCCGCACUCGGAGGAGCGUUGCGGGCAAAGGGAGCGGAUGGGAGCGGUGCCCGGGUCUCGGGGUGGCGCGUGGAGCCCCCCGCCCGAGCCCGAGUGAUGGAGCAGGUCUCGCCAGCCUCCUCCAGCCCUGCCACCCU
rnacentral:lncRNA from 1 species